rnacentral:lncRNA from 1 species
UGGGGCUGUUUGAUUGAGCUUGGAGAGGCUGUGAUUUUAUGUUGAGAAGCUGCCUUGGGUGAAUUAAGUGAUCGGCCAAGGUAUGGUUUAAGUUUCGCACGUUUAAUAUUUACGGUGUUGUGAAAACUUAGGUUAGAGGAACCAUAGAAUAAGUUGGAUUGUUUGUUGUAUUUAAUGAUUAGCCUUGUAAUGUUGUUAGAAUAGAUUUGUUAGUGAAUUUAUAUAUUAGAAUUAUGAGGUGUGAAAGUUAUUAAUGGUGUGCUCUUAUAUUUAUUUACGAUGGAUUAGAAUUGGUGUUUGUUAAUAAGGAUGUAGAGUUGUGUUGUGGUGGUAUUGUAUAUGCUGUAACUAAUUAUGUAAUGAUCGGAAUUGCAUCAGACCAAGUUUGGGCUAAACUUGGGAAUAUAAGGAACUAAACUGGAAAAUUUAAGACCUUUUUGUUAAAUAUACAAUUUAUGGCAAAUUUUUAAAGUUAAUCUGUCCAGCAGUAGAAAAGAUCAAACAGGGCAGCAACUUGUUUGUCUUGCUGCGACUUCUAUGAGUUGAGUUUUGGAGCGAAACCAAUUUUAUCAUAAAAUUUGAUUAACUUGCUUUAUUUCUCUAAAAUUUGCUUUAUUUCAGAAUUUUAAGAGUUGAGGAUUGGGAGCUGUGAAUUUUUGAAUAUUGGUGGUCAAAACUGAAAAGAAACAGAUUUCAGCAAGCUAUGCAUCAACUUCCAAUGCUUGUAACUCUUAGAAUUAAAUAGAAAUAGGGUUGCAACCAAGACACACUUGUUUCUGGAUGAGCUAGGGGUUGUCAAAUCAAAAUUUAGCUUAAUUGGAGUUUUGUAAUAAAAGUUAUUCCAAUUGAAAGGUACUAAGCUUGUUGGUUUUUAAAACAGAUUUUGUCUCAUUUUUACUUAAAUUCCAGGUGCUGUAACUUUUUCAUUAAAAAUGGUAUUAACUCAGAACCAAUUGAGAAAGAAACCUGGAUGAGUAAAGUUUAACUACAUUAAUUUUCAAAGUCAUUGGAUUUAACUUGGAUUUUAUAUUGAAUUUUGAAUAUCACAUGCUGCUGCUGUUUUUCUGGUUUUAUGCACUGCAGAGCAGUCACGGUUUUUCCUUUAUUCCUGAGGCUAGAAAAAUCAGAAAAUUAUGAUAUUUUAUUUGUUAGAAAGCUUAUUUCAAUAUGAACGCCUGGACAUAAAGUUUGUGCAAUUCCGAGUUCAUUUGCUAUAUUAGAAACAGAAAAGAAAAUAGAGUGUCGAGGAUGUCUUAGUGAUAGUCAUGAGUUCGAGAAGUUAAAGUUCAGUCCUCGUGUGAUGUGAUUGAUUUAAUGUUAGAGUUGGGUUGAUUUUAAGAUUAUUCGAUAUUAAGAAGGAUGAGAAGAGUUUGAUAAAAAGUUUGGUCAGGACCCGGAAAGGGUAAUCAAGAUGAAUUAUAAGGGAAUGACGAUGAAAAAUGUGAAAGGGAGGUUGUUAAUAAAAUGAGUUAAUAUGCCAUGGCUUGAUGAAUGAUUAAAUAAUGAUUAUGAAUAUGAAAUGGCUUAUGAAUGAUGAUAUCUGAGAUACGAGUUUCCCUGGGUAAAAACCGUGGCUCGCCACCACGUGUUCCAGGUUGAUUCUCGAUACUCUGUUAACCCUACGUCGUAAGGGUGACCGGGCACGUAUAAAUUUUCGGGUAUGGAUAACCCCCAUUGAGUGAUUUAUAUGAUGAUUGAAUGUGAACUCUAUGCAUAGACUCUUGGGGAUGCGCGACGGGGGACAGUCUAAGGUUUUCGGACUUGUCGGGUUGGCUGGAUAACCGACAGAUGGGCCCCAUCAGCCAUAGGACAGGCAUGCAUCAUAUGCAUUUGUUUGUUUUGAUUGCUAUGCAUUUCAUGGGUAUGCCUAAUUGAUAUAUAUCACCUGUUAUCUGUUAUACUUGCUAUUUGUACUAUCUGCUCAUUACUUGUGCGUGAACUUGUUUGGUUGCUUGUUUCUGUUGCAUUAUGAUUGAUGGAGGAAAUGGAGGAAAUGGAGAAAUGGUUGGGUAUUAGAUUAGGAUUGAAAUUGAGUAAGUUAGGUAGAUUUAGAAUACCUACCCCUAUUUAUAGCUUCUAAUUAGUAAUUAAAUUGGAUAAUUGAAUAACGGAGUUCUAGGACUGCCUAUGGCGUUCUCAGGAUCGUAUUUCUUAUGCGCGUGGCACUUUUACCAUGCUGAGAACCUCCGAUUCUCAUUCCAUAUUGUAUUGUUGUUUUUCAGAUGCAGGUCGAGAGGCUCCUCGCUAGGCGUCUGGAUCCUGGGAAGCGAAGUAGUCCUUGGGUGUAUUUUGGUUUUCUAUUUGUAUAUAUGUAUUUAGCUUACUCUCCAAGUAACUUAUGUAUGCUGCUCCUCUUAGAGGUUGAGGGAGAGAUAGGAGUUUACUUUGGUAUUUUGGUAUAUUUUGGGUACACUUAUGUACGUUUAUAUGUAUAUAUGUAUCCUCGGGCCAGUCGUAGCUUCGCCGGCUGAGUCAGGGGCUAGUUAUGCUGUUCCUUGGCUUUUCUUUAUCUUUUCAUUUAUUAUUUUAU